UGGGGUUGUCGGUGCGAAGGAAGAAGACGAAGACCGUCGAUGUAGAUCGCGAACGCCGGGCGUAGUGGGAAGAAGACGUCCAGCGAGCAGUCGCGACGGUGCUUCCCAAAAACCUGAUACGCCUCCUACCCUGUGCAGGAACGCGAGGAGACAUAGGUUUCGGAGCCUGCUCUCCCGACACCGAUGGUACGUCGGCGACGGGAUGGGGAAGACGGCAGCAGCGCAGUAAUGUGGCGAGGAAGAGAUGAAUCUCUCGGUACAAAGGACGACGUCUCGCCCCAUAUUUAUACAUACGUCGCACACAGCAAAUAGGCAAGCAAUCAAUCACAGUAUUAUAGAAACAUUAUCUGCCGUUUACGCACUUGCCAUAAUACGAGAAUAAUUGCUUACCAAACAGGCCAGCAGCACGCGCGCAUGUGGUUCUUCCUUUUUCUUUCCCCAAUAACUUCAAUAAAAUAGAGAUAGCUCAAAUACCUAAUCUGUAUAUACACCCAUACCUAAUACUAAAAUAUCAAAAUUUUCUUCACCCAUUUUUUCGUCCCCACCUCUCCUAACUAAUUUCGUGAAUGUGAACGUUGUCUCUGUUUAUAGACAUAUAUGCAAGGCUUCGUUUGGUAAUCUGAAUUCUAAUCAAAAUAGGAACAGAUAUUUCUAAACCAUGGGAAUUUCUUGAUUUCGAUCCUUUCUCUUUUAUGUUUUGCCUGUUGUUUUUCUUCUCCUGUCCGUUAUUUCGCCUCCUAGUUAAUUAUAUGUUGCCUUUUUGUUUUUUCUUUUCCUAUUUUUCUUCUGCCUGUUUGUUCGUAAUCUGUAUGUUAUGUGCUUCUUUAUUUUUUUUCUUUAUCCAAUUUUCUGCCAGUUGCCUGAGUAUCUUAAUACACCAACAUUUUUUUAUGUUUUCUUUUAUUUUCUGUUUAUUAUUUAAAUAACCUAAUACCGAAUUUAAAGUAAAUAAACGUGUCCCGAACCUAUGCACAUAUAUGUGUCCCGUGACAGGAUUUGAAACUCGAUAUUUAACUCUACUAACAUAUAGACAUUACAAAAAUUAAAUUUAUGUUAUAUUCUAUAAGAAAUAUUUAUAUGCCUUACAACAGGAGACAAAAAACUAUUGGAGUUAGUAUUUUAACUCGAUAUGUAGACUUAAUAAGACAUUGUCACUUAUAUAUGGAUGCUAUGGUCGGCAGAAACUAAAUUAUAGCUUUUAAAUUUUAUAGAAAUGAUAAAAGAUAAAUAGAUAAAUAAUAUUUCAGUCCUCGUUUUCAUAAACGGUUGAUGUCUUGUGUUCUCUUGUUACAACGUACGGGCAUACUUGCUAGUUAGUUAUAGAAGAUGAAUAACACGUUCGUCUCCAUUUAUUUAAAAAGUAAGAUAUAUUUUGUUUCAAUAAAGUAUGUCUUACGUCAUCUAACAAAAUUUGAGAUUAAAACUUAACUUAUACGUGGAGAAAGAAAAAUUAAAUAUGUCAUAAAGGGGUCAAUUAGAUGAAUCCAAAGAAUAGUGAAUUGAUAAAUAUUUAGUUAGAGAUUUAUGUAGAAAACCAAGAACCGAACUAAAUUUAUCGAAAACCGAACCGAAUUUACUGAAACCGAAAAUUUUGGUUCCCUGUUCGGUACCUAGUUCUCAUGAAUUUACCGAGGUAUAUUUACCGAAACCGAAGUACCGAACUAAUACCGAAUAUGUCUACUAGCAAUAUGUAAUAUUGUAGAUGGGUCUAUCAUAGACACUGUUAUUCUAUAUGAAUCAUGCUGAAUUUUUAUUAAAAUUGGCUAUUAAACUUAAUGUUACGUGCUGCUUUAAUAUGUUCGGUUCUUUCAGUAAAUACCAAAACCGAACUGAAACAGCUUAGCUCGGUACACCUAUCAGUACCCAUUUUGGAACCAAAUUUAUAUGAGUAAAC
rnacentral:lncRNA from 1 species